GUGCUUGCUUUGGCAGCACAUAUACUAAAAUUGGAACGAUACAGAGAAAAUUAACAUGGCCCCUGCACAAGGAUGACACACAAAUUCGUGAAGUAUUCCAUAUUUUU
ensembl:snRNA U6 U6 spliceosomal RNA